rnacentral:rRNA from 1 species
AGGAUGAACGCUAGCGGCAGGCCUAACACAUGCAAGUCGAGGGGUAACGAUGGCUUCGGCCAGGCGACGACCGGCGCACGGGUGAGUAUCGCGUUUGUAACCUGCCUCUAACUGGAGGAUAGCCCGAAGAAAUUCGGAUUAAUACUCCAUAAAGCCAUGAUUUGGCAUCAUUUCAUGGUUAAAGCUCCGGCGGUUAGAGAUGGGCAUGCGUGACAUUAGUUAGUUGGUGAGGUAACGGCUCACCAAGACAACGAUGUCUAGGGGGUCUGAGAGGAUGGUCCCCCACACUGGUACUGAGACACGGACCAGACUCCUACGGGAGGCAGCAGUGAGGAAUAUUGGUCAAUGGGCGCAAGCCUGAACCACCAUGCCGCGUGAAGAUGACAGCCUAUGGGUUGUAAACUUCUUUUGUACGGGAAGAAACACUUCUACGUGUAGAAGCUUGACGGUACCCCGUACGAAAAUAAGCCNANUAUCGGCUAACUCCGUGCCAGCAGCCGCGGUAAUACGGAGGAUGCAAGCGUUAUCCGGAUUCAUUGGGUUUAAAGGGUACGUAGGCGGGAGAUUAAGUCAGUGGUGAAAUCCUGCAGCUUAACUGUGGAACUGUCAUUGAUACUGGUCUUCUUGAAUAUAGUUGAAGUAGGCGGAAUGUGUAAUGUAGCGGUGAAAUGCUUAGAUAUUACACAGAACACCGAUUGCGAAGGCAGCUUACUAAACUAUGAUUGACGCUGAGGUACGAAAGCGUGGGGAGCGAACAGGAUUAGAUACCCUGGUAGUCCACGCUGUAAACGAUGAUCACUCGUUGUUGGCGACAUAUUGUCAGCGACUGAGCGAAAGCAUUAAGUGAUCCACCUGGGGAGUACGAUCGC